AACGAACGCUGGCGGCAGGCCUAACACAUGCAAGUCGAGCGCGCCCUCCGGGGUGAGCGGCGGACGGGUGAGUAACGCGUGGGAACGUGCCCUUUUCUACGGAAUAGCCUCGGGAAACUGAGAGUAAUACCGUAUACGCCCUUUGGGGGAAAGAUUUAUCGGAAAAGGAUCGGCCCGCGUUGGAUUAGGUAGUUGGUGGGGUAAUGGCCUACCAAGCCGACGAUCCAUAGCUGGGUUGAGAGGAUGAUCAGCAACACUGGGACUGAGACACGGCCCAGACUCCUACGGGAGGCAGCAGUGGGGAAUCUUAGACAAUGGGGGCAACCCUGAUCGAGCCAUGCCGCGUGAGUGAUGAAGGCCUUAGGGUUGUAAAGCUCUUUCAGCUGGGAAGAUAAUGACGGUACCAGCAGAAGAAGCCCCGGCUAACUCCGUG
rnacentral:rRNA from 1 species